CUAUUUACGGUACAGCGGUAUUUCCCUCUUUGUUAACAUCGACGCUAUUAUUAGAUAGCAUUUAGUCAUGGCUGGAGACCUAGCUACCACGUCGCUGUUGUUACCGCAAACACGUUCACCGGCGCCUUGCUUUUUUUAACAGAUGAUGCUGGGACAUAAAACUAAGUUCUGAACGUCUCCAAGAACACAGACUAAAUAGAACAGGAACAGCGGUAGCAACUUUGUUAUGCGAAACCCUCAUCAAUGGAAGAACAUUUUAAUGUCUCAUUUUGGGGAACACGCGGUGUAUAUCUGAACCUUAUCAGAGCUCUAAAGUAGUGGCACAGUGUACGUCACGACCAAUCGAUACUCAAACGAACCAUAUAAGGAGGAUUUGCUUUGUAAAGUGGAUCUACAGAGGAAUAGCGAGCAGACCUACAUGUUACUAGUGAUACAGAGGAGGUAAAAACGAGGAACAUAUUUAGCUGUAAGAUGACACUUUUCGUAAUUAAACACAGAUCAGGUGGGAGAUACGUCCAUCCUUUGGGCGGUGAUCUGAAUCCUAGCGAUGACACUAAAAUGGUUGUGCAUCAGGAUAUACACGCCGGUAUGCAUUUUGCAUUCGACAGAACAAGAAAUGGGUACGGUUACAUCCGACACGUUGGAAGUGGUAAAUAUAUCCGUCCACGUGGUGGCAAUCUCAACCCUGAAGAUAAAACUGAUCUCGUUCUACACCAGGAACGUCAUGCCGGGGCUCUGUUCUAUAUUGAUACCCAAAACCAUCAUAUUCGACACCAUGGCGGGAAAUACAUUCACACUAAAGGAGGUCACCCUAAUCCGGGUAACCAGAACCCAUUGGUUCUUCGUGGAGGACGUCAUGCUGCGAUGGAGUUUGUUAUUGUUUCACCGUGUAACACUAAUCAGGAGGUUGAUCCUUAGUUAAGAUUAUCUCUCCAAUCCAAGUCAGCCGAUGUACCCCAUUGUAAUGCAGAGGGAUUGCUCCUCGCGUGAUAGACAUCAGUUAUGUAAUAAAAUUACAUAUGAUUCAUGUAACAGUACGUUUCCCCAAUUUAGAAACAUCUUUUUUUUUGCAUCCAGUGUAAUUUUAACCUGUAAAUAUCGAUCGCAGUGUUUGAGCCCAAUUCUUAUCAGAUUGUUUUCAAAUAAAACAGGGAUUUGGAAAUGA